rnacentral:rRNA from 1 species
CACGCAGGCGGCAUAGCAAGUCUGAUGUGAAAUCUUAGGGCUUAACCCUGAGCGGUCAUCGGAAACUGCUAAGCUAGAGUACUAGAGGGGGAAGUGGAAUUCCAAGUGUAGAGGUGAAAUUCGUAGAUAUUUGGAGGAACACCGGUGGCGAAAGCGACUUCCUGGCUAGAUACUGACGCUCAUGUGCGAAAGCGUGGGGAGCAAACAGGAUUAGAUACCCUGGUAGUCC